AUUGAACGCUGGCGGCAGGCCUAACACAUGCAAGUCGAGCGGUAGAGAGGUGCUUGCAUCUCUUGAGAGCGGCGGACGGGUGAGUAAUGCCUAGGAAUCUGCCUAGUGGUGGGGGAUAACGUUCGGAAACGGACGCUAAUACCGCAUACGUCCUACGGGAGAAAGCGGGGGAUCUUCGGACCUCGCGCCAUUAGAUGAGCCUAGGUCGGAUUAGCUAGUUGGUGAGAUAAUGGCUCACCAAGGCGACGAUCCGUAACUGGUCUGAGAGGAUGAUCAGUCACACUGGAACUGAGACACGGUCCAGACUCCUACGGAGGCAGCAGUGGGGAAUAUUGGACAAUGGGCGAAAGCCUGAUCCAGCCAUGCCGCGUGUGUGAAGAAGGUCUUCGGAUUGUAAG
rnacentral:rRNA from 1 species